UACGUAGGGUGCAGGCGUUAAUCGGAAUUACUGGGCGUAAAGCGUGCGCAGGCGGUUUCUUAAGUCAGAUGUGAAAGCCCCGGGCUUAACCUGGGAACUGCGUUUGAAACUGGGAGACUUGAGUGUGGCAGAGGGGGGUGGAAUUCCACGUGUAGCAGUGAAAUGCGUAGAGAUGUGGAGGAACACCGAUGGCGAAGGCAGCCCCCUGGGUCAACACUGACGCUCAUGCACGAAAGCGUGGGGAGCAAACAGG
rnacentral:rRNA from 1 species